UACGGAGGGAGCUAGCGUUGUUCGGAAUUACUGGGCGUAAAGCGCGCGUAGGCGGCUAUUCAAGUCAGAGGUGAAAGCCCGGGGCUCAACCCCGGAACUGCCUUUGAAACUAGAUAGCUAGAAUCUUGGAGAGGUCAGUGGAAUUCCGAGUGUAGAGGUGAAAUUCGUAGAUAUUCGGAAGAACACCAGUGGCGAAGGCGACUGACUGGACAAGUAUUGACGCUGAGGUGCGAAAGCGUGGGGAGCAAACAGG
rnacentral:rRNA from 1 species